GUGAAUCAUCGAAUCUUUGAACGCACAUUGCGCCCGCCAGUAUUCUGACGGGCAUGCCUGUUCGAGCGUCAUUUCAAACCUCAAGCUCCUUCUGUGAGUUUGGUGCUGGAGCAUCUGUAAGUUUUUGUGCUUACAGGCUCUAAAAACAUACGGCAGACCUGUUAGGCCUCUGAGCGUAGUAAAUUUUCUCGCUUUUGGGGCUCUAGUAGGCUCUCUAGCCUUAUAAACCUUUCUCCAAGUUUGACCUCGGAUCAGGUAGGAAUACCCGCUGAACUUAAGCAUAUCAAUAAGCGGAGGA
rnacentral:misc_RNA from 1 species